rnacentral:piRNA from 1 species
UGGGUGCGACAACUCGCGGAGUCUUAGGA